rnacentral:tRNA from 1 species
AUUUAAAUAGUUUAAAUAAAAUAUUGAUUUGUGAUAUCAAAGAUGUAUUAUUUUAUACUUUAGAUA